rnacentral:rRNA from 1 species
ACAGGGGAAUAGCCCAGAGAAAUUUGGAUUAAUGUCCCAUAAUAUAUGUUUUUCGCAUGUUAGACAUAUUAAAGUUCCAACGGUAAAAGAUGAGCAUGCGUCCCAUUAGUUAGUUGGUAAGGUAACGGCUUACCAAGACGAUGAUGGGUAGGGGUCCUGAGAGGGAGAUCCCCCACACUGGUACUGAGACACGGACCAGACUCCUACGGGAGGCAGCGGUGAGGAAUAUUGGACAAUGGGCGCAAGCCUGAUCCAGCCAUGCCGCGUGCAGGAAGACGGUCCUAUGGAUUGUAAACUGCUUUUGUACGGGAAGAAACACUCCUACGUGUAGGAGCUUGACGGUACCGUAAGAAUAAGGAUCGGCUAACUCCGUGCCAGCAGCCGCGGUAAUACGGAGGAUCCAAGCGUUAUCCGGAAUCAUUGGGUUUAAAGGGUCCGUAGGCGGUUUGGUAAGUCAGUGGUGAAAGCCCAUCGCUCAACGGUGGAACGGCCAUUGAUACUGCCGAACUUGAAUUAUUGGGAAGUAACUAGAAUAUGUAGUGUAGCGGUGAAAUGCUUAGAGAUUACAUGGAAUACCAAUUGCGAAGGCAGGUUACUACCAAUGGAUUGACGCUGAUGGACGAAAGCGUGGGUAGCGAACAGGAUUAGAUACCCUGGUAGUCCACGCCGUAAACGAUGGAUACUAGCUGUUGGUGGCAACAUCAGUGGCUAAGCGAAAGUGAUAAGUAUCCCACCUGGGGAGUACGAACGCAAGUUUGAAACUCAAAGGAAUUGACGGGGGCCCGCACAAGCGGUGGAGCAUGUGGUUUAAUUCGAUGAUACGCGAGGAACCUUACCAAGGCUUAAAUGCAGACUGACCGAUUUGGAAACAGAUCUUUCGCAAGACAGUUUACAAGGUGCUGCAUGGUUGUCGUCAGCUCGUGCCGUGAGGUGUCAGGUUAAGUCCUAUAACGAGCGCAACCCCUGUUGUUAGUUGCCAGCGAGUAGUGUCGGGAACUCUAACAAGACUGCCAGUGCAAACUGUGAGGAAGGUGGGGAUGACGUCAAAUCAUCACGGCCCUUACGCCUUGGGCUACACACGUGCUACAAUGGCCGGUACAGAGAGCAGCCACCCCGCGAGGGGGAGCGAAUCUAUAAAGCCAGUCGCAGUUCGGAUCGGAGUCUGCAACUCGACUCCGUGAAGCUGGAAUCGC